UACAGACCUACGCUUUAGUUGGACACUUUCCCCCAAAUUGCUUUAGCCUUUUUCGCGUUCCCUCUCAGAUGCAAACCCUUCUCCUUCACCUUCCCUCAAUUUCAUUAUCAAAUUUUCACUUAAUUUCGUCCUAUCAGUAAGCAAUUCACUACUCUUUCUCAUCUCGGUGCAUCGACCAUCACUAUUCCUCAUCACUCGGUAAAACCCUAAUUUUCUUCCUUGCCAUCCAAAAUCCAGAGUCAUAGAAUAGCUGAGGAGUGGAAUCCUUAGUCAGUCAAAGAUGAAAAUUCAGGUGCAGGGAAGAAAAAGAAGAGAGAUAUUCAUUGCCACCAAACCCUCCAUAUAGUAGAAUCCCUGGGUCAGAUCUGGCUCCUUAUGACAAGCAAGUGUGUGAUAUUAGGUUUCAUUGGUACUGCUGCAAUUGUUAUCAAACAUGGUGAUGAUAGCAAUAGCACAAGUGGUGAUGAUAACAACAGCAUAAGUAUUGCUGUUGUGACAAAGGCUUAUCUCAUGGAAUGUAAUUUGGACUCGAGUGUACAUGUGGGGGGCUUUCAAUGGAGGAGUCCUUUAGGAAUCAAUUACAGCCUACAGAAUUUGGUGAAGUUCAGAGAAACUCCUGAACAGAAUUCUCUCAAGGGAAUGAAAGAUCCAAAACUUGAUUGAAAUCUAAAGACACAAAAAGAAGAUGGGCCAAGGAGAUCAGGUCUUGUCACUUGCAUGCUACUCAAAGAAGACUCGGUAAAUUUAGAUGACGCUAUGGAUCGAGACUGCAAAUAAUGUUGUUUUGUUGGAAAUAACUGCUGCCUUAACACUUGUUUUAGCUAGAGCAAAUGGAGCAGUAACUUGAGAAAAUUCUUGAUUCUGUACAGUUGAGGGCUGCAGAGAGAAUCAAGAAGAGUAGUACUUGGUCGAGAGAUGGAUUCGGCCUUGGCAACAGAGGGAUCAAAUGUAUAUGAUAGAAGGUGAGAAGGGAGUGAGUCAUGGGAAUAAGGCCAAACUUUCAUUCGCGUAUUUUUCUGCGCUGUUACAGUUUUGGACUUUAUGUUUAGAAUAUUCACUUAAGCUAGUUACUAGUUUCACCUAAAGUAUAGGUCUUAAUUGAUCCUUUUAUUCAUUUUUUUCUGAGCACAAGGUUCAUAGAGUUUCAGUUAGUAAAAUCAUAUCAUUUCUGCAACUCUUAGAGGUAUUGCUGCUCAUGCAACUUUCUAAUUUAAAUAUACAUGUUUAAUUGCAAUUGGUACCUUGGUAGCUGUCAUCAACUUCAUGUUUUGGUUUUGUAUACUAAAUUAAACAUUCUUGUUUAACUCUUAUCUAUAGGCAACAUAUAUACGUUUGUUUGUUGAGCAUGAAAAAUAUUAUUCAUUCCCAUUUCUCUUCUUGAAAAUUUUCUCCAAGUUUAGUAUACUUUUUUCCCCUAUGUGCAGGUCUGCUUAAAGAAGCUUUUUGGAUAAAAUGGUGGAGCUGUUUAUCUUCACAGAUAUCCGUAAUUUCCUUAAUGCAAGUCUUUUGGCCAUAAGGGCCAAGCUCUUUAUCUUUUCAAUCUUCUCCAUUUUUUCUUUCUUCUAAUUUUAGGUAGGAAAGCUUAGUUGUUUCCAAUUUGACUUGUGUACUUUUUGCAUUUUAUCAAUUUUGUCCAACUUUUUUAUCUACCUAUUUUCCCAUAUGUUGAAUACUUAAUGAGCAUAUAUUAUUGGCCUUUGAAUAUUAGCUUGCAUCUUUCAUAUAGACUUUGUUCUUUGAUAUGAUGUAUUUUAAAUACUUAGCCUUCUGUCUUUUUCAUCAGGUAGCUAAUGGAUGAUGAUGUUGUUUUUAGCAGGUAAGUUUUUGUCUAGUGUAUCCUAGAUCUAUUGGCACUUGUACAAGAUUAUGAUUACCAAUGUUGUUUGGUUCUUUUGUACUGGAAAGUAAUUUUCUCUCUCAACCCUGUCCCUUUGGUGUCAAGGUCAAGCUCUUUUCUAAGCUGUAGGCUUUGUUCCAACAUGUUAAGUGUAAUUUAUAUACUUAGGGUAAUCUUUUUAUGUUUGAAUGUCAUGGUUUUGAAGUUGAAAUGGUAAAACAAUUAUAGGUGCCUGAAAAAAAAAAAAAUCAGACUCUGAAGUUGAAAUAAUGUAUUUCCUUUUUUGUUGGGUGACUAAAUCUGCAGUUUUCUUG